GUCUACGGCCAUACCACCCUGAACGCGCCCGAUCUCAUCUGAUCUCGGAAGCUAAGCAGGGUCGGGCCUGGUUAGUACUUGGAUGGAAAAAACUGUCUUCCAGAAAAGCAGUCCCUGGUGUCAAAAAGC
rnacentral:rRNA from 1 species